UUUGAGGGGACUGUUGUCUGGCUCGAGGACUCUUAUUCUAAUACAAUCUCAUUUGAAUACAUUCAGAUCUGAUGAUUGAUUAGGGUUUUAGUGUCGUCGGACCAGGCUUCAUUCCCCCCAAU
rfam:Arabidopsis thaliana chromosome 3, complete sequence.